GUAAUGGAUUUAUUUGAAUCCAUCCAUUAUAUUCAAUGAAUAUAUC
rfam:Lupinus angustifolius cultivar Tanjil chromosome LG12, whole genome shotgun sequence.